rnacentral:rRNA from 1 species
UGGGGGAUAUUGCACAAUGGGCGAAAGCUUGAUGCAGCGACGCCGCGUGGGGGAUGAAGGCUUUCGGGUUGUAAACCUCUUUCGCUAUCGAACAAGGCCCGCUUAGGGUGGGUUGAGGGUAGGUGGAGAAGAAGCGCCGGCUAACUACGUGCCAGCAGCCGCGGUAAUACGUAGGGCGCGAGCGUUGUCCGGAAUUAUUGGGCGUAAAGGGCUUGUAGGCGGCUUGUUGCGCCUGCUGUGAAAACGCGGGGCUUAACUUCGCGCGUGCAGUGGGUACGGGCAGGCUUGAGUGUGGUAGGGGUGACUGGAAUUCCAGGUGUAGCGGUGGAAUGCGCAGAUAUCUGGAGGAACACCGAUGGCGAAGGCAGGUCACUGGGCCAUUACUGACGCUGAGGAGCGAAAGCAUGGGUAGCGAACAGG